rnacentral:lncRNA from 1 species
UAGAACUCAUGAAGCCCACAAACUCUUUGGUGCCAUCAAAGAUCACCAAGCAUCGAGGAACAACGACAUAGCUCGAAGAAGACAUGAUAACUGUCUCUCUCUUUUAUUUGGUCUACCCGAUCUGGAUUGGGCCGAGCGGACCAGGCAACGUAGCGAACGAGCGAGGUGGCAACUCGUCGAGGCACGCGACGACAGCAACGACCACACAAGGCAGACAACUACGACCGGGCGAGCAGGUGGCGGCUGGACGGCCGAACGAGCAGUCGUGGUAGGCCGCGGUUGCGGUUGCCGGACGAGGUAGACGACGCUGGCCGGAGCGGCAGGCG